CCAUUGCUUGCUAAAUUUGUUUCAUUACAGGGUAUCACAGUGCAUAUAUCACACGCUCGCAGCGCUCGUCAUCACUGGCCGCAGCGUCUGCCUGGCCUGUCAUCAAUAUGCAGCUGAUGUUCUAACAUUUUAUUGGGCUUUUUUGGCCCGUUGCCCACGUGUUGCUCGGUCAACAACAGCAGCAGCAGGCAGCAGCAAUAUUUGGUGUUUUGGACAAUCAAUAGAUUGGAAUGGUCAUGCAGUUUAGUCACGUCCAAUGUAACACUAUAAAUUAGUCCAUCUGGCAUGGGGCGCAUGUAGUGGCGACGAUUUGGAGCUGGGUUACACGGCCAGUCCCGAGUGCUGGGCGACAAAUGCAGCACCUGCAUAAAUUUGCCAUCAGUGAUGUGGGGCCCGCCUUUGGGGACUGAGAGAUGCGCAAUAAAUUCAAUGGAAAUGGCGGACAAUUGCCAUGGAGAUCCAGCUGAGGCCAAUAGACGCCGGCGAAUGGCCGCUGGCGCAACGGGAGGCUAUGCGCAUUCACAGUAGUCACUUGGACAAGUGGA